UACGUAGGCAGCAAGCGUUGUUCGGAGUUACUGGGCGUAAAGGGUGCGUAGGCGGUCGGAUAAGUCUUGUGUGGAAUCUUCGGGCUCAACUCGAAGUCUGCACAGGAAACUAUCUGGCUUGAGUGUGGGAGAGGUGAGUGGAAUUCCUGGUGUAGCGGUGAAAUGCGCAGAUAUCGGGAGGAACACCGGUGGCGAAGGCGGUUCUCUGGGCCUGUACUGACGCUGAGGAGCGAAAGCGUGGGGAGCGAACAGG
rnacentral:rRNA from 1 species